rnacentral:rRNA from 1 species
AGCCUGAUCCAGCCAUGCCGCGUGUGUGAAGAAGGCCUUCGGGUUGUAAAGCACUUUCAGCGAGGAAGAACGCCUUGGGAUUAAUACUCCCGAGGAAAGACAUCACUCGCAGAAGAAGCACCGGCUAACUCCGUGCCAGCAGCCGCGGUAAUACGGAGGGUGCAAGCGUUAAUCGGAAUUACUGGGCGUAAAGCGCGCGUAGGUGGCUAAGUCAGCCAGGUGUGAAAGCCCCGGGCUCAACCUGGGAACGGCAUCUGGAACUGCUUGGCUAGAGUGCAGGAGAGGAAGGUAGAAUUCCCGGUGUAGCGGUGAAAUGCGUAGAGAUCGGGAGGAAUACCAGUGGCGAAGGCGGCCUUCUGGACUGACACUGACACUGAGGUGCGAAAGCGUGGGUAGCAAACAGGAUUAGAUACCCUGGUAGUCCACGCCGUAAACGAUGUCAACUAGCCGUUGGGUCCCUUGAGGACUUAGUGGCGCAGCUAACGCAAUAAGUUGACCGCCUGGGGAGUACGGCCGCAAGGUUAAAACUCAA